rnacentral:lncRNA from 1 species
ACAGCUUCCACAUCCUCUGAUCAAAGGCGCCACUGCAUUCCCUUCAGCACCGUCAGGGCUCAGCUCCAAUUUUUUCUCCUCGCCGCCAAAGUCGUUUUUCUGUUCUUUUUCAUCACACGUGUUGACUCCUUGAAUCAAAGCACCCUCCUUCGGAUUUUCACUAGCAAAAUUAGCAAGGCCACUAUAUCCCUUCUUUCUCAAAGUUUCAGAAUAUAUAAAACCAAGUAUAAUACCAGGGAUCACAAACCAAUCUUCUUGUACCUAACAUAUAAAGGACAAAAAUUUAACGUCGUCACAACCCACAAAACAUGGUAAAUUCUUGAGUAUAGUUUGAAUAUAAGAUUUUUUACCUUAUAAAUUCCAUAUUUUAAGUCCACCAAUGCCACCGCGCGGCCGUAUGGGUCCUCUGCUGAGAAUUGAACUGCUGUGAGAAAAUCUAGGUCACUUCUACUCUUCUCGCAGUGCUUUGGUUCAUAUUCCAGUUUUCUUCCAGGGAAAUAUCUUACCUGUUCCAAAAGAUAAUGAUAAUAUUUAUUGCUUUAUUAAAAUUAUUUGCUCACAAGCAGAAUAAAUCUUUAAACAAUAUGCAUCCUGGUUGAUUACUAACUUAAGGUUCAUUUAGAUUAUUGGAUUACUGAUAUUAGACUAUGACUUUCUUCUCUGUCAAAAAAAAAAAAAAAAAGACUAUGACUUUCUUCAAGUGUCGAUUCCUGNCAAAAAUUUAACGUCGUCACAACCCACAAAACAUGGUAAAUUCUUGAGUAUAGUUUGAAUAUAAGAUUUUUUACCUUAUAAAUUCCAUAUUUUAAGUCCACCAAUGCCACCGCGCGGCCGUAUGGGUCCUCUGCUGAGAAUUGAACUGCUGUGAGAAAAUCUAGGUCACUUCUACUCUUCUCGCAGUGCUUUGGUUCAUAUUCCAGUUUUCUUCCAGGGAAAUAUCUUACCUGUUCCAAAAGAUAAUGAUAAUAUUUAUUGCUUUAUUAAAAUUAUUUGCUCACAAGCAGAAUAAAUCUUUAAACAAUAUGCAUCCUGGUUGAUUACUAACUUAAGGUUCAUUUAGAUUAUUGGAUUACUGAUAUUAGACUAUGACUUUCUUCUCUGUCAAAAAAAAAAAAAAAAAGACUAUGACUUUCUUCAAGUGUCGAUUCCUGGAUUAGUGUUUCUAAUCAAUUGCAUACUUUAUUCAACAGAACUGAUAUUUCAUAAUACUUUUUUGCUAAUUAAAAUAAGAUAAUUAUUAUAUAAAAUUUAUGCCACUACAUAUAUCCUAUCUUCACUAACUAUGUAGGCCAUGUCUGGUAACAAGGACUAUAAGCUCCGAUUAUUUACAAUUUGCACGCACUAUACUUUAAAAUAAUAUUAAUACCCCCAGACAAGUAUGUGGUAAUAUAUUUUGAUGAUAAUUUUCGAACACUUUCUAAUUAAUUCUUUAGAAACUAUUGAUCCCGCUCUUUCCCUAUGUAUUACAUGAAGAAACCAUUUACAAAGUGGUUGAAAUCUAGUUCAGGGAAAAACUAGAGCAAUAAAUAUGGUUACAGAAUAUAGGAUAUAGUCAAAUGGCCCAGGGAUUAGCAUUUUCCUCAAAAAAAACAUAGCUAUAAUGAAAAAAUUACAUUUCAGUAUAUCACAAAACAAAUUAUAAGCUCUUUUUAACACAUUUACCAGAACUUUAUCAUAUUCACAAUUGAUAUUAGUUAGAUGAAUGCUUAUAAUCAAUUCAAGAAAUCGUUCAAGUAUUCCAGAUUAGAAGAAAUGUCUAAGAUUUCGCUCGAUACAACAUCAUAGAUAAGCUAGAUUGCUGAACAGUCUUUCUAUAAAAAUAAUGAACUGGAUUAGCUCAUAUAAUUGUGUGAUUAAGCAUAAACAAAUGUUUUUAUAGUUGACUUGCAUGAAAAAACAAGUUAGUCUUACCGUGCGGUGACCUGUAAGCUCAAAAAGGGGAACUCCAAUAUCAACACUAGUAAGAAUUCGAACAGACCAUGAAGAAUCUAUGAAAUACCACUUUGUUCCCACCAAUUUUGCAAGAGUGUGUGUUUCGCCUGAUUCAGUGAUGCCAAUCACAUCUUUCUUUAAAAGUUCAUCACCCGGUUCUUUAAAUUCUCUAUUGUCCCUGUAGUGCAGGAGAAACCAAAAAUUAAGAGUAGGAAAAGACUAAAUUAGUAUCAUGCCAGAUAUCAGAUAGUUAUUCAGGGCUUUUAAUGCAAUAAGAACAUGGUAAACUAAAUUUCCCUCUGAUUACAUUAAUUUCUUCUAAAAUGUCAUAGUUAACUGAAAAAUAUAAUUUUGAUUACAGUUCCUCCUAGGUACGGUAACCAAAUUUUGCAGAAGUUCACGACUGUAUCUGUAACUUCUCAAAAAUACGAAAUUACACCUUUUAUCCAUGUUAUGACAAUACAGAUGCAAUCUAGCUAACAAAAAUUCAUCAAACUAAACCGGAAACACAAUUAUCAAUCGAAGGUAGUACACAUAAAUGAAUACCUCAUUUGAAGGCUAAUGAGCUUAUUCCCAUUUUCAUCGCUGAUGUGUGUCCAACUCUUAGCAAAUUGAACUUCCGGAAGAGGUGAAAAACGGGAACCCUUCAAGAAUGGAGGAGAACGAACCAUGUGAAGCACACGUGUUGCUGGGCUUGGAAUAUUAAAUGAGAGGGCUGCUCUGAUACAGAUUGGAUUCGAACUGACAAGACCAGAGGGAGGAACAACCUCCAACCAUUUUUCCACUGAGAUACUGGAGACAGGAACGAGAAAAUCUUCUAGUGAGAUAGUAGCGGAUCCUAAAGCUUUGGGUUUUGAUAUUGGUAAGUUGGAAUUUGAGUGCACGAAAACUUCAAAAAGCAAGAGGCCAGAAGGUUCACAAUUGAAUAAUGCAACUUGUUUCUCCCCAUACUCAGAAAAUAUAUUCAGUUUUCUCUUCGUGUUAAAUAUUGCAUCUGGCUGUGCCUUGCUAAAAGAGACGUAGACACUUCCCUUGAGUUCUUCAGGUAAGUUCUUUAUCUCAACAAACUCUGUAAGUGUUCUUACUACAUGAUUGGUUAGAAAGAUUAUCCUGUAGACCAGAAUUAGGAAACAGAGAUGCAAAGUAAGUGAUAUAAAGUGUUUUUCUUCUGCUCACUAGAAAGAGCUGCCAUGGGUACUAAAGUUACUCAUCACAAAAUGUAUUCAGAGCGAGGAAAUUUUCGGAAGUUGAGACUUAAGUCUAGCAAAUGAUUUUGGAGACACUGAAGCUAGAUUCUUGAACAAAUAUAGAAGAUAAAGCUAAGGAUGUCCGUUAAUUUAAGCAAAUUGUUACAUCCCAGAAACAUUUCUACCAGUCCCAUUCUUUUGCAGCUAGAGACAGGAGAGAACGCAUCUAGUUAAUAUAUGAUCAAACACAUAUAAUGCAGCUGCGUAGAGAAAUACGAAUUUGGAUAAGAAUUUACCUCCACAGACUUCAGCUCAGGAAGACUUAUGAUUUGUUGCUGCACAUCAGUCGAUACAAUCUUAUUGGUCAUGGAUUUUGACACAAAUGGGAUGGUUAUCAGAGGAGAUGGAGCAGCCCCUCUAUACAUUGAGCCUGAUCUCCAAUAUCUUGAGCCAAAUAUUUGCUCCCACUGGCUUGUAGUUUCAGAGAAACCAACAUCCAGCUUUUGCCCUUUUGUUCUGUCCGAGUCUGUGUCGUCAUGUUUCAAAACCUUCCCAAUAAGCUUGACCAUGUCUUUGCAAUAAGACACUGGGUGCAACUGGUGGGAAUGCCAUAUCAAGUCAAUGUCGUAGGUGGGAACACAGAAGCGUUUGAGCAUAUGCUCUCUGUUUUUGUUAAUAAGAUGCAGAAAACCUUUAUAUCUGGCCACGACUGCCUCAAGAAAUAAGUCAUUCUUCAUAUGGGGUCUGGAAACCUGGUAAACAAUACUAGUUAGAAAGAUGAUAUAGAUUACAAUACACAUUCAAUAUCUUAUUAGUGAAUUCCUUUAGAAUAUCUUUAAAUGUAAAUGAGCUAAUUGGUUCAAAUUGAAAGAAAGCUGCAAGAAGUAAAUACUUAACUACGAUUAGAACUUAAGUACCGUCAUUUAUUUGCAAUUUAGAAUAAUUGAAAUCUCUGACUCUCUGUUACUUGAAUACUAUAUGCCAAGAGGCCCAAGACAGAUCUUCAGUUGCAGUAAUAGUCUAACAGAAUAUCAAAAACCUUAAAAUAACAGAGAAAAGCUGAGCAGAAGCUAUGCAUGGACCACACUUGAUCAUUAUAGAAGGCAAGAAAUAUGCUAUUCAUACACAAUAUCUAGAGGCUGUAAAGAGAAAAAACACACACAAUUCUAUAAAAAUGAAUUCGACCACAACAUAAAUCAUGCAUAGAUAUAGGAGUUUCGGUGUCCAACAUUGUAACAUGGAAUAUUGAUAACAAGAUCAUGUCCUAUAUUUACCUGGUAGAAGAAUGGACUCUGUCUUUCAAUAGCUAAAACAAGAUCGUAUGUGGUGUGCUUUUCAGCAUCAGCUGCGUUGUCUAAUGUUUUGUCCCAGCAAGAUGUAUCGGGGUCAAAGCUAUAGGGCUCGUCUGGGUACAACCUUCCCCAAAUCUUUUCUGUCUCUCUACCCGAAGUUCCUUCAAUAGAUGAUAAAACAUUGCAAUUAUCAAGAAUCCUUCCAUAAAACUUCUUGCAAUCAGAUAUAUAUCUUACCUGAAGAAGAAACAAAGGAUUGCAGUUAUCAGUCUAAAUAUAAUAUGUUUGAAUGAAAUUUAUGAACAACUAUAUACUACAACAGCACAGAAGCAUACUGGAUUAAGCCUGUGGCAGUGCCAAACCCAUUCACAAUCAAGAGGAACAACCAAAGGUCCUUUAGAGAUCUGUGACUCGGCAUUUUUAGCAAGCAACGGAAGCCAACAAGCAUUAUACCUGAAAUUCAAUCACAACAAGUUAGUAAUCCUAUCAAUGCAGAUUACAAGCUGAAAUCAAAACACAUCAAUUUGAGUACUAAUGCCGAAAUUUUCCACAAACCUCAUCAUCAAAAUUUUGCACUUUAUGCAUCAACACAUACCACAUUCAAUACCUUACAACUAUAUGCAUCAACAACCUUAUGAAUUGAAAACAAUUACACAAAAUACCUGUAAAUUGAUCUUUGUAGUGCAGGGCCUUUGUAAAGCCAGCGAUUACGAUCAACAGCUGCAAGAAACUGAAGCUGCUGUUUAGCAGUAGCCACAAGAUCCUCACUUAUAACAAUCUGUUGAGCUUUGCUCCACUCUAUCUCCUCAACACCAACCUUAGAUUUCUCAACAAGUAACUCAACGAGUAAAUCUUGAAGUCGAGAGAAAAAAGGGAAAUGGAGUUUGGGUUUAGAGGGAUGAUCAGGGUUAGGUUUUGUGGAGAAGUGAGAAGUUGCAUGAAAACAAAAGGGUGCAAGACAACAAGUAUGAGCUGAAGCUGCGGAAAGUCCAAGAAAUCGAGAAGUUGAUGUCAAGAACUUCUUCAUCAUAUCUCUACUUGUGAAACAUUUAGCUGGCAGAACGCAAAAGAGCAGAGUAUCAUCAAUUCAGGCCCAGAAUUUUGAUUCACUUCUAUGUUAUUCUUCUUGGCCAAGAAGUAACUAAUUUCCAAUCCCAUUACUACUCCUGCUGCUUUGGUACAGUUUGAACCAGUUUUCUACCGGAAGUUUAUUGCCAGAUGUGAUCAGCAAGAAGAAGAAUGCAAGGAUUGUCCCCGGUUCAUCGAAGGUGUGAGAAUAAGCUAAUUUCAAAUGAGCAAGAAUGGUAAAGUGCAAGUGUUUGUGUGUGUAUCGAGUCAAUGAUCAGCAGAAUGGUAAAGUGCAAGUCUUUUAAUAAGCCUAGAACCAACAGCAGAAUGGUAAAGUGCAAGUCUUUUAAUAAGCCUAGAACCAACAGCAGAAUGGUAAAGUGCAAGUCUUUUAAUAAGCCUAGAACCAACAGCAGAAUGGUAAAGUGCAAGUCUUUUAAUAAGCCUAGAACCAACUCCCUUGAACAUGUCCGUCCAAUAGCGAAGUGGGGGAACGGUUCCACCGAAUCCGGAGGAAUAUGUACGUUGGAUUUAAGUUUUUCUCAAAACCGAAGUGGACCGAACUUUUAUUCAAAACCGAACAAAAUCAAUCGAAUUAUUGCAGUUCGAUUUCGGUUUAAAAAAAGUCAUAUUUUUUAAAAACCCUGUACCGUCCAAAUCGAAAUUUUGAAAAAAAAUGAAAUCAAACCGAACCGAAAUUAUACGGUUUGGUUCAGUUCAGUUUUGUUCACCUCUAACGUUGGAAGCUAACGUCUCUUCUUCUGUAACCAGGACUGUUCACGAAUCAAGCUGUUCGCGAACAAGCUCAAGCUCGCCUCAAUAAAAGCUCGGUUCGGCUCGAUUCGUUAAGAACUCGAGCUCCGAGUUCGUUAAGAAAACAAGCUCGAGUCAAGUUUUUAGCGUGUUCGACUCGAGCUCGGCUCGAGCUCAGCCCUAGUAUUGACAGAAGGAGAGACAUAAUUUCGACGAGUGUUGUGGAUCAAAAUAAUCUGAAUCAAUGAAAUAUAAUGGGUGAAUUCACAUUAUCUCCCUCCUAAUAGAAAAAAAAUAAUCACAAACCAGUAUAUUAUAAUAUGAAGUGAUUAUCUUACAAUGAGAUGUUGCAAAACAAUUUAUUUAGAAACACUUGCAACAAUGAACAAUUGAAAAUGCUGACCAACAUAGAGCACCAAGAGCAGGAUAGAAAUAGCAUACAACACUGAAAGAUGGUUAAUGGUCGACUUGUAUACAGACUCGGAAGAUUAAUUCAUUAUGAGACAUGGAUUCCCCUUAUUAUGCAGAUUUACACACCAAGAAUUAACAACUAUUUCAAAGUGCAGCUCUUCAGAGACAUAGCAUGCUCCUAGUAGACUGCUUAAAGUACGAAACUUACUAUGCCAUUAUUGCUUCACAUUGCAUGUUUGCUUGAUUGCCAUCGAUGCUGGCAGGCGCUAGUCUAUUUCCACAUCCACCACCACCACAGCUGCCACAACCACCUCCACAGCCUCCACUCGCUGCCAUAUUUCCACAACCUCCUCCACAGCCGCCACAACCACCUCCACAGCCGCCACAACCACCACUCUUCACCAUAUUUCCACAGCCACCGCUGCCACCACAGCCUCCACAACCGCUGCUGCCACCACAACCUCCACAACCACCACUUUUCAACAUAUUUCCACAUUCACCUCCACAACCACUACCACAUCCACCGAAAUCCACAGUCCUCGUCACAUUACCGCACUCACUGCCACAGUUUCCACAUCCUCCGAUUAAAGGUGCCACUGCAUUCCCUUCAGCACCUUCAGGGAUCAGCUCCGAUCCUUUCUCCUCACCGCAAAAGUCAGUUUUCUGUUCUUUUUCAUCACAGGUGUUGACUCCUUGAAUCAAAGCACCCUCCUUUGGAUUUUCACUAGCAAAAUUAGCAAGGCCACUAUAUCCUUUCUUUCUCAAAGUUUCAGAAUAUAUAAAACCAAGUAUAAUACCAGGGAUCACAAACCAAUCUUCU